UACAGGGGGUGCAAACGUUGCUCGGAAUUAUUGGGCGUAAAGCGCGCGUAGGCGGCUACUUAAGUCGGAUGUGAAAGCCCUUGGCUCAACUGAGGAAGUGCACCCGAAACUGAGUGGCUAGAGUACGAAAGAGGGUCGCGGAAUUCCCGGUGUAGAGGUGAAAUUCGUAGAUAUCUGGGAGGAAUACCGGUGGCGGAAGGCGGCAUCCUGGACCAUUACUGACACUGAACCGCGAAAGCUAGGGGAGCAAACGGG
rnacentral:rRNA from 1 species